rnacentral:rRNA from 1 species
GACGUAGGGCGCGAGCGUUGUCCGGAUUUAUUGGGCGUAAAGAGCUCGUAGGCGGUGUGUCGCGUCGGCCGUGAAAAACCUGCAGCUCAACUGUGGGCUUGCGGUCGAUACGGGGCAUCACUGGAGUUCGGCAGGGGGAGACUGGAAUUCCUGGUGUAGCGGUGAAAUGCGCAGAUAUCAGGAGGAACACCGGUGGCGAAGGCGGG